AUGAACUGAGCUAUAAGGAGAGAAGCAGAAAGAAGCUGGGAGGCAAGAGAUGCUCUGGCACCCUAGAGGGAAGUCUGCAGAGCACAGAUAACCCCUCUGGGCAUUGGAGCCCAGCAUGGAGGAACAAGGAGACGGUGGUGUUUGGCCGAGUAGACUGUGUGUCCAGAAUCGAUGUAUUGAUCUUCCUGUUCCAGUCCAGCAGAACUCACCGUCCUUGCCCUCACCACUCUUGGCAACAGCCUUGUGAUCUCAUUAUUAAAUUACCAACCAGAGUGUUUGGAACAGUUUCUGCCAGGCACUGGUCUGCGCUGGUCCUCAACAGGCCUCUUCAGAAUAUUUAUUGUACACCCUGGGAUGGUGGGCAUUUAAUCGCUCUUUGUGGUCAAUAAAUUGAGGCUUUGGGAGGCGA